rnacentral:rRNA from 1 species
UACGGAGGGGGCUAGCGUUGUUCGGAAUUACUGGGCGUAAAGCGUACGUAGGCGGCUUUGUAAGUUAGAGGUGAAAGCCUGGAGCUCAACUCCAGAACUGCCUUUAAGACUGCAUCGCUUGAAUCCAGGAGAGGUGAGUGGAAUUCCGAGUGUAGAGGUGAAAUUCGUAGAUAUUCGGAAGAACACCAGUGGCGAAGGCGGCUCACUGGACUGGUAUUGACGCUGAGGUGCGAAAGCGUGGGGAGCAAACAGG